CCCGGGUCCAUAGAGAUCUGGGGAGGGUGGGGGGAGCAAGGACGAGUGCCUGCCGGGACCCCCCUGGCUCCUCGCUCCCAAGGAGUCGAGGGGAACGUCUCUACCGCGCUGCAAAGCCAGCAGAGAUGGAGCAAAGAAACCGUCAUACUCCAAAUGGUGGUGUUUAACCUCAAGUUUGUUUUAAAUAUACCUGCCUGACUCUGACCAGAGAUCAAAGUGAACAUCACAAAUAACGGGACAAAUUGACAUUAUGUGUCUUCUGAUAUGACGCUCUGAGAGGAACACAGCACCAUAAGGUGGUAUCUGUGAUAUCUCUGGCCAACCAUAAGGAAACAAUUACACAAACCCAAACUGAGAAGCCUGCAAAAUAACUGGCAUGAAAUCUUCAAAAAUAUUGAGAUCAUGAAAGAUAUCCUGAGGACUCACUCCUGCUCAGCCACUCACAUCAAAUUUAGUUUCUUGAAAUGGGCUGCUGAGGCAUUCUGCUCAGGAAUUAAUCAUAGCUGAGAAGCUGCUUCAGGGGUGGAGGAAAAAAAUCUGCAACUUAUUGUUAUCCUAUAUUCACACAAUAUACGCUGUGUGCCUACUACAAACUGGAAACCGUUCUCAGCUGUAAGAUCCAUCAAUGCGGAGUUGCUUACCAGGGGAAGACAUGUGUGAACUGAUGUAUGUGUCAGAUGGUAAUAAGUGCACUGGAGAAAAUGAAGCCUGGCAAAGGGUCAGGGAGUGAAUGGAGGGUCACUUGGGCAGUCAGGGAGGGCACUUCUGAACAGGUACCAGGUGAGCAAAGGUUGAAUGUUUUAAGGCAUUGAUGCCUGAGGGCAGAAAGUUCUAGGCAGAGGAAAUGUACAGAUGCCCUCAGGAGGGAACACUUUGCUUCUUCAAAGGGUUGCAAAGAGGCCGCUAUGGCCAGAGGGUGGUGAGUGAGGAUUAUUCAAGGAGAAGGAAAGGGAAGUUUAAAGAGGAGAAGUUGCGUCUUGGCCUUUUACUCUGGAAUGGGAAGCCCUGAAGUGUUCUGUGCUGAAGAGCCACGUGCUUUGACUCAGGCUUUUCAAGAACCACUGUGGCCCGCUGUGCAAGGGUGACAUCAGGGAGACCAGUCAGGAGGUGCUAUGGUUUGGAUAUGGUUGUUUGGCCCCACCAAGUCUCAUGUUGAAAUCUGAUCCCU
ensembl:lncRNA novel transcript